GUGUACUCUGGCUCCGGGUGAUGCUCUCCAGCUCUCUUUUCAGCAGUAAGCACUGGAGUGUGGAAGCAAGCAAUUAAUGUUCUUUGGAAUUUCUCUAUCAUCCCACAGAGUGUUUGUGUAGGUGGUUUCAGGAUGCAGCAGGAGUCCAUGGUGCUGACUUCAGAGCUGAAUGAGCUGAAAGGAGGUCUUGGCCAUAACUCAGGAGCAGAUGCAGUAGGGAAGCCGUAAGCAGCACAACUGCCUGCCACCCAUAUCUCAUCCAACACUCAAGUUGCUCUGGAUUUGGAAAAGGGAAUCCUACUGAGGCUGGCAGUUCCAUGAACUGGGUUUAACUCCAUCCUCCUGGCUCUGGGAGUACGUGCAGCUUCUGAUGUAUGUGCAUAUCUGCAGAGACAGACCUGUGGGAAAAAGGGGCAAAGCAGUGAGGAUUACUGAGUGGUAGAUUGCAGCAGACUACCAGAGAGAUAAGAAAUGCUCCUGCACCCCAUGAAGUCCCAAGGAUGAAGGAAAUGAGAAAUAAUGUGCCAGAUGCAGCAGAUACAGUGGUUCAGAGAUCAAGAGAAAACCUGGGAGAGUGGGGGAAAAGCAGAGGAAUUGGGAAGAAGAUAGGCAAAAAAAGACACAGGACAGGAGAGGAGGGGCAGUGAGAGAAGUAACUGGUCAAGGAAAAUUAGAAAAGAAGGACUGAGAGAAGGAAUUAAGAAGUCUGAAAUGUAACUUACUGAACACCUUAUGACAAAACUAUUGAAAUUGGAACAAAAAAGAAACAAAAGGAGUAACUAGAA